rnacentral:rRNA from 1 species
UGGGGAAUCUUGGACAAUGGGGGCAACCCUGAUCCAGCCAUGCCGCGUGAGUGAUGAAGGCCUUAGGGUCGUAAAGCUCUUUCGCCUGUGAAGAUAAUGACGGUAGCAGGUAAAGAAACCCCGGCUAACUCCGUGCCAGCAGCCGCGGUAAUACGGAGGGGGUUAGCGUUGUUCGGAAUUACUGGGCGUAAAGCGCACGUAGGCGGACCAGAAAGUUGGGGGUGAAAUCCCGGGGGCUCAACCCCGGAACUGCCUCCAAAACUAUUGGUCUAGAGUUCGAGAGAGGUGAGUGGAAUUCCAAGUGUAGAGGUGAAAUUCGUAGAUAUUUGGAGGAACACCAGUGGCGAAGGCGGCUCACUGGCUCGAUACUGACGCUGAGGUGCGAAAGUGUGGGGAGCAAACAGGAUUAGAUACCCUGGUAGUCCACACCGUAAAACGAUGAAUGCCAGUCGUCGGGUAGCAUGCUAUUCGGUGACACACCUAACGGAUUAAGCAUUCCGGCCUGGGGAGUACGGUCGCAAGAUUAAAAC